GCAUUCCUCUUUGAGACUAAAUGUGUAGUAAAAGUUUUUCAUAUCUCCUCUCUUGCCAGUUCUCAUUCCUUAUUAUAUUUUUAGGCACUAAGAGAAUCUCAUCGGUAUGCAAGAACUAUUUUAAUGUUACUAUAUGUCGGAUAUUGAAGCUGGUCUUGGUUUGAAGAGGAACCGCUUGAUUGUUCUCUCUCUUUUUGGCUGAAAAUGACCACGAUUUAAGUGGGGUUCAAGGCGUUGGGCUUCAUACAGCUCCUUGUUUUGCCCAAACGUUUACUGAAGAUGAGAUAUUAAACAGCAAAAGAGCUCUUUUGAAGUCUUCCUGUGAAUUCUUUAGCAACGGAGUUGGUGAGGGCUGCAUGAAAAAGCCAAAGAGGGUUUCAAAUGCAGUUGCUCUUACUGUGAUAUGGUACAUUGAUCAAAUCACUGAAAUCUCCUUAUUUUAUAUUUAGUAGUUGUUGCAGCACUGAUAUUAUAUUCAAUUUUUUGUGUUAUCUGCUACCUUUUUUAAUCUCAAUAUCCCUUUUUUUAA